rnacentral:tRNA from 1 species
UCCCUGGUGGCUUAGCUGGUAAGAAUCUGCCUGCAAAGCAGGAGACCUGGGUUUGAUCCCUGCCUUGGAG